AACAAACGCUGGCGGCGUGCCUAACACAUGCAAGUCGUACGAGAAAGUCGGCUUCGGCCGAUGAGUACAGUGGCGCACGGGUGAGUAGCGCGUGGGUAAUCUGCCCCCCGGUCAGGAAUAACCCGCCGAAAGGCGGGCUAAUACCCGAUAACACUGACGCUCCGCGGAGCGUCUUUCAAAGAAGGCCUCUGUUUACAAGCUUUCGCCGGAGGAUGAGCCCGCGUACCAUUAGCUAGUUGGCAGGGUAAUGGCCUACCAAGGCUACGAUGGUUAGCUGGUCUGAGAGGAUGGCCAGCCACACUGGAACUGAGACACGGUCCAGACUCCUACGGGAGCAGCAGUGAGGAAUCUUGCGCAAUGGGGGAAACCCUGACGCAGCAACGCCGCGUGAGUGAGGAAGGCCUUCGGGUCGUAAAGCUCUGUCAGAUGGGAAGAAAUGGAUGGGGGCUAAUAUCGCCCAUCCUUGACGGUACCAUCAGAGGAAGCACCGGCUAACUCCG
rnacentral:rRNA from 1 species